rnacentral:rRNA from 1 species
AGAGUUUGAUCCUGGCUCAGGAUGAACGCCGGCGGUGUGCCUAAUACAUGCAAGUCGAACGCGUUGGCCCAAUUGAUUGAUGGUGCUUGCACCUGAUUGAUUUUGGUUGCCAGCGAGUGGCGGACGGGUGAGUAACACGUAGGUAACCUGCCCAGAAGCGGGGGACAACAUUUGGAAACAGAUGCUAAUACCGCAUAACAGCGUUGUUCGCAUGAACAACGCUUAAAAGAUGGCUUCUCGCUAUCACUUCUGGAUGGACCUGCGGUGCAUUAGCUUGUUGGUGGGGUAACGGCCUACCAAGGCGAUGAUGCAUAGCCGAGUUGAGAGACUGAUCGGCCACAAUGGGACUGAGACACGGCCCAUACUCCUACGGGAGGCAGCAGUAGGGAAUCUUCCACAAUGGGCGCAAGCCUGAUGGAGCAACACCGCGUGAGUGAAGAAGGGUUUCGGCUCGUAAAGCUCUGUUGUUAAAGAAGAACACGUAUAAGAGUAACUGUUCAUACGUUGACGGUAUUUAACCAGAAAGUCACGGCUAACUACGUGCCAGCAGCCGCGGUAAUACGUAGGUGGCAAGCGUUAUCCGGAUUUAUUGGGCGUAAAGAGAGUGCAGGCGGUUUUCUAAGUCUGAUGUGAAAGCCUUCGGCUUAACCGGAGAAGUGCAUCGGAAACUGGAUAACUUGAGUGCAGAAGAGGGUAGUGGAACUCCAUGUGUAGCGGUGGAAUGCGUAGAUAUAUGGAAGAACACCAGUGGCGAAGGCGGCUACCUGGUCUGCAACUGACGCUGAGACUCGAAAGCAUGGGUAGCGAACAGGAUUAGAUACCCUGGUAGUCCAUGCCGUAAACGAUGAGUGCUAGGUGUUGGAGGGUUUCCGCCCUUCAGUGCCGGAGCUAACGCAUUAAGCACUCCGCCUGGGGAGUACGACCGCAAGGUUGAAACUCAAAGGAAUUGACGGGGGCCCGCACAAGCGGUGGAGCAUGUGGUUUAAUUCGAAGCUACGCGAAGAACCUUACCAGGUCUUGACAUCUUGCGCCAACCCUAGAGAUAGGGCGUUUCCUUCGGGAACGCAAUGACAGGUGGUGCAUGGUCGUCGUCAGCUCGUGUCGUGAGAUGUUGGGUUAAGUCCCGCAACGAGCGCAACCCUUGUUACUAGUUGCCAGCAUUAAGUUGGGCACUCUAGUGAGACUGCCGGUGACAAACCGGAGGAAGGUGGGGACGACGUCAGAUCAUCAUGCCCCUUAUGACCUGGGCUACACACGUGCUACAAUGGACGGUACAACGAGUCGCGAACUCGCGAGGGCAAGCAAAUCUCUUAAAACCGUUCUCAGUUCGGACUGCAGGCUGCAACUCGCCUGCACGAAGUCGGAAUCGCUAGUAAUCGCGGAUCAGCAUGCCGCGGUGAAUACGUUCCCGGGCCUUGUACACACCGCCCGUCACACCAUGAGAGUUUGUAACACCCAAAGUCGGUGGGGUAACCUUUUAGGAGCCAGCCGCCUAAGGUGGGACAGAUGAUUAGGGUGAAGUCGUAACAAGGUAGCCGUAGGAGAACCUGCGGCUG